CCUACGGGAGGCAGCAGUGAGGAAUAUUGGUCAAUGGACGGAAGUCUGAACCAGCCAUGCCGCGUGCAGGAAGACGGCUCUAUGAUUUGUAAACUGCUUUUGUGCAAGGGUAAACCUGAAUACGUGUAUUCACCUGAAAGUACGUUACGAAUAAGAAUCGGCUAACCCCGCGCCAGCCGCCGCGGCAAUACGGAGGAUCCAAUCGUUAUCCGGAUUUAUUGGGUUUAAAGGGUGCGCAGGCGGACUGAUAAGUUAGAUGUGAAAUGUCCGGGCUUAACUCGGGAACUGCCUCUAAUACUGUUGAUCUAGAGAGUAGAUGAGGUAGGUGGAAUGCAUGGUGUAGCGGUGAAAUGCUUAGAGAUCA
rnacentral:rRNA from 1 species